rnacentral:other from 1 species
CGUCUGCUGCUGUGUUCGUGAUGCACGCAUAAAGUUCUGAGCCAACACCUACUUUCAUGGGGUCAAUCUCUGGAGGGGCUGUUGUAACCCCUGCGGGGGUGAAGCAAAACCGACCAGGUAGACGCCCACCUGCGAAAGCAGGUUCAGAACCCGACAGCACACGGCACGGCGGGGACGC